rnacentral:lncRNA from 1 species
AAGCACUAAAGAUCAAUUACAUAUAAAAAGAAUAUUUAAAGCUCUCAUCAAGAAGAUCCAAAAUAUUAUUUUCACCCUUUUUUCCUUUCUUCUUCAAAUCUUCUUUUUCCAUUUUCCACUCAUCAAUUCCUGUUGUUUCAUCGCCUUCUCUUUCCUUCUUCAUACAUCUAUUUCUCCUUUCUUCUACAUGCUAUGAUUUAUCAAUUAUUUAGGAUUUUUGUGCUUUGAGAAGGAAAUGGAGAUUAAAAAUUAAAAAAAUAAAAUUGAAAAAGAGAGAUAUAGAAAUUAGAUUGAAAGCUAAAAAAUUUAACCAAAAAAUUGAAGAAAUCCAUCUUCAAACAAUCGUUGAGAGAUAAAUUGAAAGAUAAAAAGGGAAAAACAACUAUGGAGAGAGACAGAAAGGGAAAGAGAAAAAGAGAAAAAAAUCCAAAUUGAAAAAGCAAAAAAUCUUUUCUUCUUUAUAGAUUUAUAGCUUCAAGAAUUGCAAGAAGAAGAAGAUGUAGAGAAAGUAGAGAUGGAGGAGAGAAAAAAGUAGAGAUGGAGGAGAGAAAAAGUAAAUGAAUUAAUAAUUAAAAAUGUCAACUGUUUGAGAAUUACAAUCUUUACGUGCGACUUUUAGAGUGUAUUGACGCAUCAUACUCACUGGACCAAUAAGGGAAUAAUAUAUACAAAAG